UACGUAGGGGGCAAGCGUUGUCCGGAUUCAUUGGGCGUAAAGAGCGUGUAGGCGGCCAGGUAGGUCGGUUGUGAAAACUGGAGGCUCAACCUUCAGCGUCGACCGAAACCAUCUGGCUAGAGUCCGGGAGAGGAGAGUGGAAUUCCUGGUGUAGCGGUGAAAUGCGCAGAUAUCAGGAGGAACACCGGUGGCGAAGGCGGGUCUCUGGGC
rnacentral:rRNA from 1 species